CACAUGCAGUCGAGCGGUAGAGAGAAGCUUGCUUCUCUUGAGAGCGGCGGACGGGUGAGUAAUACCUAGGAAUCUGCCUGAUAGUGGGGGAUAACGUUCGGAAACGGACGCUAAUACCGCAUACGUCCUACGGGAGAAAGCAGGGGACCUUCGGGCCUUGCGCUAUCAGAUGAGCCUAGGUCGGAUUAGCUAGUUGGUGAGGUAAUGGCUCACCAAGGCUACGAUCCGUAACUGGUCUGAGAGGAUGAUCAGUCACACUGGAACUGAGACACGGUCCAGACUCCUACGGGAGGCAGCAGUGGGGAAUAUUGGACAAUGGGCGAAAGCCUGAUCCAGCCAUGCCGCGUGUGUGAAGAAGGUCUUCGGAUUGUAAAGCACUUUAAGUUGGGAGGAAGGGCAGUUACCUAAUACGUGAUUGUCUUGACGUUACCGACAGAAUAAGCACCGGCUAACUCUGUGCCAGCAGCCGCGGUAAUACAGAGGGUGCAAGCGUUAAUCGGAUUUACUGGGCGUAAAGCGCGCGUAGGUGGUUUGUUAAGUUGAAUGUGAAAUCCCCGGGGCUCAACCUG
rnacentral:rRNA from 1 species